ensembl:lncRNA
CCCAUGUCCUCUCCCUCCCGCCCUUUAGGGUUUUUAGGGUCUGGAAUCCGGCCCUUUAGGGGGGGGUUCUGCAGUCGGCGCCCUCGAGCCCGGCUCCCCGUGACUUGCAGCUGGCUCCACGUGACUUGCAGACGGCGCCCUCGAGCCCUGUCCGCCCACCGGUCCGACCCCCGGAGGCUCCUCCGCCGCCUGACCGCCGGAGUUCCCCUGGCUGCCUGACCCUCUGUUUUCUGCCCAUCCCACCGUUCCUUGUGUUUUUUAGAUCCGUCUGGAAUCCAAUCUCCUGUACCUUACCAGUGUAUUUUGUGUGUCUUUUGUCCUUUGUCGCAUCAUUGAAUGUAAUUCCUGCAUGUGAAUGUUCUACCCAUAAUGUCUUGCCUGUUCCUGGUCCGUGUCUGCGUUUUUUCCCUCUGGUGUAUGGGGGGGGAUUUUGGAUUUAAUAAAGUAGUUUUUUGGUUGUUAACUCUGCGUUUGAUCCUGCCUCUGCCUGCCCCGUUCGUGACAAUUGGGUAUUUUUAGGUAUGUUUCUUACACAUUUGCAACAAUAUUAUGAUUGCUGUUUAGCAUGAUCACAAAUAAGAUGGAGGGCUUGAUUUAUGCUCAAUUGAUGGUUUCUGCUCCAAACAAAUGUUGGUGUGAAAGUCUCUGUUUUGCAGAUGCAUCCAGGGGAGAAUCGUGCUAACAAAAUGAUGUAUCCCGUUAGAUUUAUGAGAUUUAUCUUCAUUCAUACAUCCAAUGUCAGAUUACUGCAACAGUGUUCAAGGAGAUACAGUUGAACUUAAACUUGAGCGUGACCACAAGUGAAAUUUAAAAUCCUGCCUCUUAACAAAUGCACUCAUCUUUGUUUUGAUAAGACAUUUACGCGAGCGUACAAUUAUCCCACUACCAGCUGCCAUUUCAUCACCAUCUCCACCUGCUUCAGCUGCUGCCACCGCUGCCCUGUCUCUUUUCUCUCUACCAGUUGUGUUUUUUUCACGCGUCCCAAUUUGUCUCAUUGUGUCACCCUCGUUAAAGUUCCCUUAAACGUGUUUAAUGUGAAUCACUGGACCGAUCACAUUUUGAGUGAAUCAAGCUGUUUUUUUCCAGGAGUAAAAACAAGUAAAAAGACUGCAAGCAUGGCACAGUGUACAGAAAAAGUUAAUUUUACUGGAAAAAAACUUUUAAAGAAGGUAAAACCUUUUAUUUUAGCAUGGUAACAUAUUAAAGCAACAUCUUGGACUAUGAUGGAGCUGUCUCAUUGUGGUGGGCUGUAUCCUCAUGAGGACCUUGGCUUUGUGGUCUAUGUGGGCUGGGUCCUCCGACCAUUGCAUACACUGAAAAAAACGACAAUUAACAUUUACUUAAAAAAAUCCUCGUAACAAUUUGCACUCAAAAUUUUUGAGUAAAUUUUACUGCUGUGAUAUCCAGUAAAAGUUCCUUAAUAGUAUUAAGUAAAAUCUACUUAUUUCUGAUGGUAACAUUUGUGAAAAUAUUAGGUAAGUGUUACUUAGUUUAACUGAUGUUUCAAUUUUUAUUACACACACAAAUUAAGUACAAUAUACUAUAUUUUUUGUAUACAUAUACAUUUACAACAUCAAAAUAUUGAGUAGAUUUUAUUUAUCUUUGAUAUUUACUGUCGUAAAAUUAUCAAGUACUUUUUAUCCUGUUUGAUCAUUUUAAUUACUUGGUUGUUUGAAGUUAUAUUACCUAAUUCAUUUAUGUAAAUGUUGCAAAUUCUCUUUUGAUAAAUAUUACCAAAUACUAUUAAUAAUCACACGGCUAAAAUACAAUUCCAUUAUUUAUUCAUAAACCUUUGUCAGGUACCUUACGUAACACCUCAUUUUAUACAGCUAUGUAGAACUGUACAUGAAACAGCAGUCAACAUUUCACAUGACAAAAAAUUAAAUGAAAUCUCAGCAGCAGUAAAUCAAUAAAGCAUCAAUCAAGCAUCAAUAAAGAAAAAAGUUUACCUUUACUGAGUGAUCAUUACGCUAUACAGAAAAAAAGCAUAUCACUGGAAAAUCAAAAUGUUUUUGACUCCUGGACGCAUUAAACUAAACAGGGCACAUCAGGUGACAAAACAGAUUGAGGGUUUGACCUGACAAAAUAUGCUGUACUGACAUGAACAACAUUCUAAACCGCAACAUCCAUUAACAUAUUUAUAUUAGCAUUCGGUUAAAACAUUAAAGUUUGAGGACAACAUCAAAUCCUCUGUUAAAACCUUUAAAACAAAGGUUAUUUUUAACUUUUUUUUUACCUUGUGAGCAUGAAUGACAGCAGUUGCCUUUGUUGACAACAUUAGGAACAUUUAAGAAAGAAAACUCCUUUCAGACAGCAACUUCAACUUUAAAGAUGUACUUUUGGUGACAGCUUUAUCCCAUUCAGUUCCAGGAAAAGUUUUUGAAACACCUCAAAGGUGUAGCGCAGAGUCCAGGGGUAGGCAAGGUUCAGGGAAUAAAUCAGUCCCAUUAGCAACGUGCAAGCUUUGGCUGUGCUGUUGCAUCGUGUCAAUACCUCCUUCCCUUCAAGAAUGAUGGAAACAUCUACUGGUUCUUCUCCAUCAGUACCAUGGACAACCAGGAUCUUGACUAUGUGUUGAGUGGCAUCACUGCGAUUGUCCUCCUGCAUGAAAUUCACAAGAAAAAAGAAAACUAUUUAGUUGACAACAAUUCAAGAGUAGGAAUACCAGCCUUCUAUAGACUAUUACAAGAAGUGUUGUAAAACGUAUUUAAAAGUUAUGCCUAAGUAAAAAAAAUUAAAUUUGGUGGUUAAAUACUACUUUGGUGCAAAAAAAUAUAUUAAAAUCACCCAUAGAUAUCGUACUCAAGUAAAGAGACAAAAAAUUAUUUUAGAAAGAAAACGUGGUUUACCAGGCAAUCUUCGAAAAGUUUCUCUUCUUUUUCACCAAGGAAUAGUAUGAGGCCACUGAUAACUGCGUCACGUCACAUGUCAGUGCUCGGGUUCUGUGAAAGGAGUAAUAGCAUCAGUUGCAAACAAUAAUUUGUACACAAUAUACUAUCAUGUCAGAAGAUACGAAUACUUGCAAGGAGCAGUGGUUUGUUUCCAUGUGUGGAAAGGAGAAGUAUGUUACAGAGAGUGAGAAUUUGUGUUGUCUAGGACAGGGGCAGAAUGUGUGUGAAACUGUGACACACAGUAGAUCUGUCUUCCUGCAGAAGAUACAUCAAACAUACCUGACUCAGUUUAUCCAGAUGGGGCCUCAGCCUGCCUCCAACACCUCCCUUGGCUUUCAUCAGGGCAGUAAGCUUUGGUGUAUAGUGGUCUAGUUUGUACAUGAAGCUUUGCUCUAGAGAAAUUGUAGUUAUUCUCCAAAACUCCUCCUUGAUCUGUAGAUGGAAUGGAUGAACAAUAAAAACAGCAAUAUUGUGUCAUGCAUACAUGCAGUGUAUUUGUACUUGCCUAAUCACAACGGUGCAGUAUUUGAUUAGUCACUGAACAGCCCAGCGCUCCUGACUCUCUCUGGUCACCUCAUGUCCCAGCCGGCUAAAUACAAAAACAGUCGCCUGUGAAUGAAAACACAUAUUUUUAAGGGCAACUUAUAAUUUAUAGAUUCAUUUACAGCCAUUUUCAUGUUGUGUUUGUCUCUUGACCGUGGCACGCAGCUUCAACGAUACACCGCAACGCGGCCGCCAUGCUAAAAGUUGAGAUGAUGUUUCGAGGUGAAAGCACAUAGACAAUAACUAAAAAAACGAAAAACUUUGGCGUAGCGUUGUGUUAUAUUCGCACUACACGGGACAGUACAUGAGACAAAAUACAAUAGCUCUGAAUAAGAUAUAGUAUCUCGCAAAUUAACCGCGCGGUGUGCGACUCUGGUGGAAUGAACUGGCUAAUAACUAGCUAGCUAGCAUCAAGCUACAUCACACAAACCUUGGUGUAGACCGCUCGGUGUGCAGUCCAUACAGUGCUUCAAACUAAUCACCAAAACGCGUUUUAAACUGAUAAUAAAUUAUUUAAUGGAUAAAGCUGUUACUUACCUGAGAGAUUCCGGAGAUAUUCACAACUCUGUCUGCUGCCAACGAACGGACGGACAAUGGACAUCUGCGCGGUACUUUCGUUUGUCCCAAUGCGCAUGCGCUGAUUCAAACGCACUCUAAAAUAGUGUCGUAAAAUUUACUCAGUAUUUUAGUGUUUCUAGCAGAGACUAAAAAACAUUUAAAUGUUAUGAAAACAUCCAUAAUAAGACUUACUCCUUCCACACAGCCAUUUUAAAUACAUAAAUAAAUUGUGUACAUACAUGUAAUUUUACUUGACAAAAUCUAGUUCCCGCAGAAACGAAAAAUUUAAUUGUAGACAUCAGGACAGUUUAAUUAGUAUAUUUUACUACACCACCAAGUUCGUUUUUUCAGUGUAGGCUGAACUGAGAGGACUAUGAAAUUGGAAGGUCUGACCUACGGUGGGACUUCUUGCUUUUUCUUUGCUUUGCCUACCUUUGCUGCUCGCAUUGCCUAGCAACCUGCUGCGCUUGACUGUGGAAGCCUUUAAAUUGAAAAACAGAAAAUGCAGUUGGAGAAGGUAAUCUUCUUAUUUUAUUUAAUUUAGGAGGAUAUGCUUGCCCUCCACAGCAUGAUUUAAUUUUGUCUGAGAAAAGAACAUUUUCCGGUUUGAAAUUAAAAGACUAAAAUGGUUAAGCCUUGUACUUAUAGCUAAAAGUAAUAUUGCAAUCUUAAGGGAGAGGAAAUCUAUCGAUACAGUCAAUAAAAAGAACAGCAGCUGAACAAAUAUGUCUCGUGCAUUAUAGGAAGUAUUAGAUGAUUGUCCAAACCUUUGGUUGAACUUGUAUGGGUGGGGGUGUUACGUGAAGAGAGCUGUAUGCAUGUAUGUCUCUCUCUCUGGCCCUCUCCUACCCUUGUCCUGCAGGUGAGAGGUGGAGGAUUGGCUGGCCCCAACCCUCACAUUCACGGCCAUUUCAGCCAAUCAGAGACAGAGGACACUAUAUAAAGCCUCUCUCUCUUUUUGCUCUCCCUCUCUCUGACUUUGUCCAUUAAGGUUUGCGGUGGGAAAGUGGUACUGAGGUAAUACACUCAGAGACACACACUUGUUACUCCAAUAGGUUAUGGGUUGUUGCCACCAAUGUAUUUUUAUUACUUUUGGACACUUUUGUAGAUAAGAGAGUCAAGCCUUUUGUUUUCUUUUUCCUUUCCACACAAUGUUGAGCUAGGCCCUAUUUCAUUGUACUUAUUUUGUUUGGCACAACCCCAACAGUUCACCCCCCCCUCUACUUUACCUAAGUAUUGUAAAUGAAUCUAUUUUCUUUAACUGCUUUACAUUGUCCCUGAGUUCUUCCUUCAUUGGUUGUCAGCGUUAUUGUUUCCACUUAAAAAGGGAAACGUAACAAUUGGGGCUUGUCCGGGAUAAACCUGUGUUUUUCCUUCUGACAAUCAAUGGGAAAUUACUCAUGGUGUUUGUUUGGCAUGUGGUUGAAAAUGAGUUUCAAUUUACAAGAUUUAGUUGACAAUCCCUCAUUUGAAAAAAUUGAUGUGUGUCGCAAGGAUGAUUUAUUGUGUAUUGCAGCACACUGACAUACUGUUCACAAGUACGGACUUAAGAAAGAAAUCAAGAUGCAGGUCCUAGAAAAACUAGUUGAUUUAAAUGUCCUUAGUUCUGCCCAGCCUGUGGGUAAAGUUUCAGCUAAUGAUGUUUCUUCUACUACAGCAGGGGUUUUGUCUCAGACCAUCGAGGAGCCAGCUGCACUAUUCACACCUCCUGCAGACCAUGCUACGUUACCUCGUUUUGACUCUUUCUCUCCUCAACAAUCUCAGGGGUUAGUUCAAGUUCCAAGCUCAAGGUUCCCCUCACUCUCCUUCAGCUGGAGGCCAAAGAAAAAGUCGGUGCGUAAACCAGAGGAUAAUCUCCGCCUACAGACCUGACCUCUGGUCAUUCAGCCACUGAAAAGGCCAAAGGACGCACACACAAAAGAACCUUGUCAUUUCAGCACGCUCCAAAGGUGACCCGCCACCACCCCUGACACCUCCAAUCUACAGCAGAACCUGGCAUAGCAGGAGAGUUAUGCAACUUGGGCUCUACCACCACCACCACCACCAGUGUCUGGACUCCCAAGGGGGGGAUAUGCCUCGUCUCGGCUCGAGUUCCCGGCCCCGGGUCUUUCCUGCGGCAGGAUGGAGUCCAAGCCCCAAACAACUUGCAAUAUCAUAUUAUACCUGUUAUAAUAAAGCAUUGUUCAAAUUUCAACAAGUCUCUCCGGAUUGAAAUGACCUAAUUGAAAUGCUAAAGUCCGGGGGGUCGGGAUGGUUAAUAAACUCCAUUGCACAGAAUCCAUCUUCAGUGUCCUCUACUUAGUGGGUGGUUCGACGUUGCAGUACUCCCUGACUUGCCUGUUGCGG